rnacentral:rRNA from 1 species
AGGAUAAACGCUGGCGGCGUGCCUAACACAUGCAAGUCGAACGCGCUUUCGGGCUUCGGUGCGAGAGCGAGUGGCGGACGGGUGAGUAACACAUGGGUACCUACCUUGGAGUGAGGGAUACCGGCGAGAAAUCGCCGACAAUACCGCAUAGGCUUCUUCACAAGGGAAGCAAAGUGACGCGAGUCACGCUGUGAGAUGGGCCUGUGGCCGAUUAGCUAGUUGGGGGGGUAACGGCUUCCCAAGGCGACGAUCGGUAGCUGGUCUGAGAGGACGAUCAGCCACACUGGGAUUGAGAACGGCCCAGACUCCUACGGGGGGCAGCAGUGAGGAAUUUUCCGCAAUGGAGGCAACUCUGACGGAGCAACGCCGCGUGCAGGAGGAAGGUUUUCGGAUCGUAAACUGCUUUUCUCGGGGACGAGCAAGGACGGUACCCGAGGAACGAAGCCCGGCUAACUACGUGCCAGCAGCCGC